GACGAACGCUGGCGGCGUGCUUAACACAUGCAAGUCGAACGGAAAGGCCCUGCUUUUGUGGGGUGCUCGAGUGGCGAACGGGUGAGUAACACGUGAGUAACCUGCCCUUGACUUUGGGAUAACUUCAGGAAACUGGGGCUAAUACCGGAUAGGAGCUCCUGCUGCAUGGUGGGGGCUGGAAAGUUUCGGCGGUUGGGGAUGGACUCGCGGCUUAUCAGCUUGUUGGUGGGGUAGUGGCUUACCAAGGCUUUGACGGGUAGCCGGCCUGAGAGGGUGACCGGCCACAUUGGGACUGAGAUACGGCCCAGACUCCUACGGGAGGCAGCAGUGGGGAAUAUUGCACAAUGGGCGGAAGCCUGAUGCAGCAACGCCGCGUGCGGGAUGACGGCCUUCGGGUUGUAAACCGCUUUCGCCUGUGACGAAGCGUGAGUGACGGUAAUGGGUAGAGAAGCACCGGCUAACUACGUG
rnacentral:rRNA from 1 species